rnacentral:rRNA from 1 species
CCUACGGGGGGCAGCAGUAGGGAAUAUUGCACAAUGGGCGAAAGCCUGAUGCAGCAACGCCGCGUGAGGGAUGAAGGCCUUCGGGUUGUAAACCUCUUUUAGUAGGGAAGAAGCGAAAGUGACGGUACCUACAGAAAAAGCACCGGCUAACUACGUGCCAGCAGCCGCGGUAAUACGUAGGGUGCAAGCGUUGUCCGGAAUUAUUGGGCGUAAAGAGCUCGUAGGCGGUUUGUCGCGUCUGCUGUGAAAAUCCGAAGCUCAACUUCGGACCUGCAGUGGG